UAACCCAGUGAGCCACCCAGGUGCAAUAAAUCUUUCGCCUUUUACUAAAGAUUUCCGUGGAGAGCCACCCAGGUGCACCACCUCUCGUUUUUUUUGUUUGUUUGUUUUUGUUUUUAAGGA